UACGUAGGUGGCAAGCGUUGUCCGGAAUUAUUGGGCGUAAAGCGCGCGCAGGCGGUUCUUUAAGUCUGAUGUGAAAGCCCCCGGCUCAACCGGGGAGGGUCAUUGGAAACUGGGGAACUUGAGUGCAGAAGAGAAGAGCGGAAUUCCACGUGUAGCGGUGAAAUGCGUAGAGAUGUGGAGGAACACCAGUGGCGAAGGCGGCUCUUUGGUCUGUAACUGACGCUGAGGCGCGAAAGCGUGGGGAGCAAACAGG
rnacentral:rRNA from 1 species